CCCUAGCCCCGAUAGGAACGGUUACCCCGCAACAAGGGUUGGAAAGUCGGAGGGUUUUGGAGUUGGAAGAAAUGGCGCGAGGAGUAUGAGUGGAUAGCGGGAAAUAGC
rnacentral:misc_RNA from 1 species